GCUGCUUUUAGCCAAACAGCCGCCUCCAUUUGACCCUUUCCAGACAGAGAACUUUCCUCUGAGCUGAAACUCACAGAUGAACAGAAGUUUACACUGCAUUUUGAUUAAUCUGCCCAGUUGUAAAUCUGCAAUUUGUGCCUUCAGGAGUCUCCUUUGUCUUAAGUGAUGUGCUCUGGCUGGAGCACUAACAAACCCUGCAACCUUGGACAGAGAAACCAUGAGAGCAGCCAGCCAUCUUCAUAUGGAGGGAUCUUGAAUGUGGACAAAAUUGGCAAUUGUUCAUAGACCUGGGACAGACUCAAGGCAGAUGUGUGACAUCACUAGGACACUUCAGUGUGUCUCUCAUGACACAGCAGUGAAUUUUGAACUCUACUGAUCUGGAAGUCUUGGUCCCAAGAGGAAGUGCUUCCAUCAGAAUAUACUAAAAUGAUGCCACCGAAUAGAGACGAGACCAUCACCUAGCUAUCCUGGGUUCGUGAUGCCAUUUAGCCAACAGGUCAACACACACACACACACACACACACACACACACACA